UAGGGAAUCUUCGGCAAUGGACGAAAGUCUGACCGAGCAACGCCGCGUGAGUGAAGAAGGUUUUCGGAUCGUAAAACUCUGUUGUUAGAGAAGAACAAGGACGUUAGUAACUGAACGUCCCCUGACGGUAUCUAACCAGAAAGCCACGGCUAACUACGUGCCAGCAGCCGCGGUAAUACGUAGGUGGCAAGCGUUGUCCGGAUUUAUUGGGCGUAAAGCGAGCGCAGGCGGUUGCUUAAGUCUGAUGUGAAAGCCCCCGGCUCAACCGGGGAGGGUCAUUGGAAGCUGGGAGACUUGAGUGCAGAAGAGGGGGGUGGAAUUCCAUGUGUAGCGGUGAAAUGCGUAGAUAUAUGGAGGAACACCAGUGGCGAAGGCGGCUCUCUGGUCUGUAACUGACGCUGAGGCUCGAAAGCGUGGGGAGGAAACAGG
rnacentral:rRNA from 1 species